AAUGAACGCUGGCGGCAGGCCUAAAACAUGCAAGUCGAACGCUGUAGCAAUACAGAGUGGCGCACGGGUGAGUAACAUGUGGGAAUAUGCCUAUUGGUACGGAACAACGUUUGGAAACGAACGCUAAUACCGUAUGGUCCCUUCGGGGUAAAGAUUUAUCGCCAAUAGAUUAGCCCGCACUAGAUUAGCUAAUUGGUGAGGUAAGAGCUCACCAAGGCGACGAUCUAUAGCUGGUCUGAGAGGACGAUCAGCCACACUGGGACUGAGACACGGCCCAGACUCCUACGGGAGGCAGCAGUUAGGAAUAUUGGACAAUGGGCGCAAGCCUGAUCCAGCCAUGCCGCGUGAGUGAUGAAGGCC
rnacentral:rRNA from 1 species